AUCUAUUUAUUUUGUAAUUAGAUUGCAUAAAACGAUGUAAUAAUAUCAAAUAAUUAAAAUAUAAUCUGAUAUCUUAAAGUUUCCAAGGUAAUCUUGGGAAAGUAGGCCUAGUAGGUUGCAUUGAGAGUACAAAAAAUGGUAGGAAAGAGAGUCUUGGGGGCCUCUUGCUCUCAACUUCAACAACAAACAAUGCAAAUAUCACUCCAAGGACUAACCUCAGUGCAUCCAUGAUCAUAUCCACAAAAUCAUUGCCAAGUUCCACAAAUUCUGCAAUACACAAGGCAAGGAAAACAAAACUCAACUUGUAG
rnacentral:lncRNA from 1 species